rnacentral:rRNA from 1 species
GACGAACGCUGGCGGCGUGGAUUAGGCAUGCAAGUCGAACGGUAUCAUCCUUUCGGGGGUGAGAGAGUGGCGAACUGGUGAGUAACACGUAGGUUAUCUACCCUCAAGACGGGGACAACCCAGGGAAACUUGGGCUAAUACCGGAUGUGAGCAACUUUUAGUUGUUUGAAAGGUGGCGUAAGCUGUCGCUUGGGGAUGAGCCUGCGUCCUAUUAGUUAGUUGGUGAGGUAACGGCUCACCUAGGCAAUGAUAGGUAGGCGGCCUUAACGGGUGGUCGCCCACACUGGGAUUGAGAUACGGCCCAGACUCCUACGGGAGCAGCAGUCGAGAAUAGUCUACAAUGGUCGGAAGACUGAUAGUGCGACGCCGCGUGAACGAUGAAUCCCUUCGGGGUGUAAAGUUCUUUUAUAUGUGAGCAGUGCUUCUUAUAUUAACAGUAUGGGGAGAGAGAUAUUAGCAUAUGAAUAAGCAACGGCUAAACUCCGUGCCAGCAGCCGCGGU